rnacentral:rRNA from 1 species
UACAGAGGGUGCGAGCGUUAAUCGGAAUUACUGGGCGUAAAGCGCACGUAGGCGGCUUGGUAUGUCGGGUGUGAAAUCCCCGGGCUCAACCUGGGAAUUGCAUUUGUGACUGCACGGCUAGAAUCUGGCAGAGGGGGGUAGAAUUCCACGUGUAGCAGUGAAAUGCGUAGAGAUGUGGAGGAAUACCGAUGGCGAAGGCAGCCCCCUGGGCUAAGAUUGACGCUCAUGCACGAAAGCGUGGGGAGCAAACAGG